rnacentral:lncRNA from 1 species
GUAGUCAUCUAACCGACAUGCCCCAAAUAAUGCAAUAUAGCUUAGUUGGGGUCCAAUCUGUAACCCCAAUUGGAACGGUGUCAAUAUCACGCCACUGGUAAGGACAAUCUAUGAGUAACCCUCGUAUAACAGGUAACUCUAGUGAGAAUGGUGGGAACCCUCAUAUAACAGGUUAAGCCACCUCAUUUACCCUUAUAUAGCAGGCUAUGAUGUCUCAACCUAUGCUGG